rnacentral:tRNA from 1 species
GCGCCGAUAGUCUAGCCUGGUUAAGACGUAAGCUUGCCAAGUUUAAGUCACGGGUUCAAAUCCCGUUCGGCGCA